rnacentral:lncRNA from 1 species
CUAGGCUCAAAAGAUUCGUCUUGUCAAUUCCGAUCAAACUGUGCAAUUAAUUUUUAUUUUCAUCUAUAUUUAAUACUUCACGCAUACGUUUAAAGAUUCGAUGUGACGGGGAAUCUGAAAAACCGCUUCGGCGCAUGAAAGAGGUGGCGACGGCGCUAGCUCGGUGAAGAAUACUAGACACGACGAACACUAGGCCAAAAAAGUGAAAAAAUUUCCAAUAUUUUCUGUCACAUCAAAUUUUGCGGCACAUGCAUAGAGCAUUAAAUAUAAAUAAAAAUAAAAAUUAAUUACAGAGUUUGUUUAUAAAUCACGAGACGAAUUUUGUGAACCUAGUUACACUAUAAUUAUAUAAUAUUUAUCAAAUAAAAAUAAAAAUGUUAAAAUCUAAAAAAAAAUUAGAUCUAAACAAGUAGGAGGACAGGUAGUACGUAUAUAUGUGGCGCAGUGGUCAGGGCUCAGGGCCUUGGCGCCUGGUACAUGCAGUGUACAAUACUCUACCUACUAGUCAAUGAAUGGCGUGGCGUGGCGCUUCUUGCUUGAGAGAUCAGAAUCAGAGGCUGGACUGGUUCGUUCGUUCCGUAGGUAGCUGUGUACAGUACGUAGCUGUGUGCAUAGGCGAGGGAGACGAUCGUGCCCGGACGGACGGACACGAUGGAGCCCAGCCCAGCCCAGCUGUGCGCUGGCAGCUGGUGGUGCCCUACCGCAU